GGCGAACGGGUGAGUAACACGUGAGUAACCUGCCCUUGACUUUGGGAUAACUUCAGGAAACUGGGGCUAAUACCGGAUAGGAGCUCCUGCUGCAUGGUGGGGGUUGGAAAGUUUCGGCGGUUGGGGAUGGACUCGCGGCUUAUCAGCUUGUUGGUGGGGUAGUGGCUUACCAAGGCUUUGACGGGUAGCCGGCCUGAGAGGGUGACCGGCCACAUUGGGACUGAGAUACGGCCCAGACUCCUACGGGAGGCAGCAGUGGGGAAUAUUGCACAAUGGGCGGAAGCCUGAUGCAGCAACGCCGCGUGCGGGAUGACGGCCUUCGGGUUGUAAACCGCUUUCGCCUGUGACGAAGCGUGAGUGACGGUAAUGGGUAAAGAAGCACCGGCUAACUACGUGCCAGCAGCCGCGGUGAUACGUAGGGUGCGAGCGUUGUCCGGAUUUAUUGGGCGUAAAGGGCUCGUAGGUGGUUGAUCGCGUCGGAAGUGUAAUCUUGGGGCUUAACCCUGAGCGUGCUUUCGAUACGGGUUGACUUGAGGAAGGUAGGGGAGAAUGGAAUUCCUGGUGGAGCGGUGGAAUGCGCAGAUAUCAGGAGGAACACCAGUGGCGAAGGCGGUUCUCUGGGCCUUUCCUGACGCUGAGGAGCGAAAGCGUGGGGAGCGAACAGGCUUAGAUACCCUGGUAGUCCACGCUGUAAACGGUGGGUACUAGGUGUGGGGUCCAUUCCACGGGUUCCGUGCCGUAGCUAACGCUUUAAGUACCCCGCCUGGGGAGUACGGUCGCAAGGCUAAAACUCAAAGGA
rnacentral:rRNA from 1 species